UACAGGGGGGGGCAAGCGUUUGUUCGGAAUUACUGGGCGUAAAGGGCUCGUAGGCGGCCGGCUAAGUCCGACGUGAAAUCCCCAGGCUUAACCUGGGAACUGCGUCGGAUACUGGCGGGCUUGAAUCCGGGAGAGGGAUGCGGAAUUCCAGGUGUAGCGGUGAAAUGCGUAGAUAUCUGGAGGAACACCGGUGGCGAAGGCGGCAUCCUGGACCGGUAUUGACGCUGAGGCGGCGAAAGCUAGGGGAGCAAACGGG
rnacentral:rRNA from 1 species